CCUUCUGCAGUGAUGUCUAUGAGAAGCCUUUGUGGCCCAGCAAUGGGUUACCUGCCGCGACUAUAAACAAGAGAUAGCGGGUAUUAAAUGCAGGUCAGCACCAGCUGGCGACACUUUCGAAUUGCGGGAACACCCUAAAGCCAGUCUACACCAACCAGUUGGGGAAAUCCAGCUGGGGCUCAUGCUAACAACAUGAGGUAUGGUAAUAGCGAGAUUGGAUAUAACAAUGGGCAAUCCGCAGCCAAAUCCCUACAGCUUCGGCCACGGGAGAGGUUCACAGACUAAGUGGAAGUGGGCUGCUCUUUCAGGGGCAGCUUAAGAUAUAGUCGGGUUCUGUAGGAAACUAUGGAAGAAUCACUGGGUGGUAGAUAGUUAACGGGUCCAACCGUUAACCAAAUCUUCAAAUCGAAAAACUUUCGAGCCGCUAUAAACUGUUCCGUAGGUGAACCUGCGGAAGGAUCAUUAAACAAUUUAUAGUCGUAACAAACUAUAUCAACCCUUUGUGAACCAAACAAACCUUUUCGCUUCGGUAGCAGGCUUGGGGUGCGAAAGCUCCCCCAAGCUGUCAGCCUGCCGGCAGCACCAAACCAAAAACCUGUUAUAAACUAUUGUCUGAACAGAAUCAUUUUCGAAUGAAAAUUAAAACUUUCAACAACGGAUCUCUUGGUUCUCGCAUCGAUGAAGAACGCAGCGAAACGCGAUAGUUAAUGUGAAUUGCAGAAUUCAGUGAAUCAUCGAGUCUUUGAACGCACAUUGCGCCCAUAGGUAUUCCUUUGGGCAUGUCUGUUUGAGCGUCAUUACAACCCUCAGCGCAAGCUGGUUAUGAGUUGGCUGCAACCUCUUGCUCGAAAGAGCAGAGGUGAAAUCCGGCUUUAAAGUUGUAUGCUCUGCUGGCUGCUUUGCCCGACCAAAACAUAGUAAAAUUUACGACUGUUUACAGAACGGCUUUGCGUGCUCGGCCUGAAUAAAACUCAACCCUUUCUUAGGUUGACCUCAGAUCAGAUAAGAUCCCGUCU
rnacentral:rRNA from 1 species